GAUGAACGCUGGCGGCGUGCUUAACACAUGCAAGUCGAACGAAGCACUUAAGAUUGAUUCUCGGAUGACGUCUUUUGUGACUUAGUGGCGGACGGGUGAGUAACGCGUGGGUAACCUGCCUCACACAGGGGGAUAACAGUUAGAAAUGACUGCUAAUACCGCAUAACCCGAUAGGAUCGCAUGAUCCAGACGGAAAAGAUUUAUCGGUGUGAGAUGGACCCGCGUCUGAUUAGCUAGUUGGUGAGGUAACGGCCCACCAAGGCGACGAUCAGUAGCCGGCCUGAGAGGGUGAACGGCCACAUUGGGACUGAGACACGGCCCAAACUCCUACGGGAGGCAGCAGUGGGGAAUAUUGCACAAUGGGGGAAACCCUGAUGCAGCGACGCCGCGUGAGUGAAGAAGUAUUUCGGUAUGUAAAGCUCUAUCAGCAGGGAAGAAAAUGACGGUACCUGACUAAGAAGCCCCGGCUAACUACGUG
rnacentral:rRNA from 1 species